UACAGAGGGUGCAAGCGUUAAUCGGAAUUACUGGGCGUAAAGCGCGCGUAGGUGGUUUGUUAAGUUGGAUGUGAAAGCCCCGGGCUCAACCUGGGAACUGUAUUCAAAACUGACAAGCUAGAGUAUGGUAGAGGGUGGUGGAAUUUCCUGUGUAGCGGUGAAAUGCGUAGAUAUAGGAAGGAACACCAGUGGCGAAGGCGACCACCUGGACUGAUACUGACACUGAGGUGCGAAAGCGUGGGGAGCAAACAGG
rnacentral:rRNA from 1 species